rnacentral:rRNA from 1 species
CUAACGUCCGUCGUGAAGAGGGAAACAACCCAGACCGCCAGCUAAGGUCCCAAAGUCAUGGUUAAGUGGGAAACGAUGUGGGAAGGCCCAGACAGCCAGGAUGUUGGCUUAGAAGCAGCCAUCAUUUAAAGAAAGCGUAAUAGCUCACUGGUCGAGUCGGCCUGCGCGGAAGAUGUAACGGGGCUAAACCAUGCACCGAAGCUGCGGCAGCGACACUAUGUGUUGUUGGGUAGGGGAGCGUUCUGUAAGCCUGUGAAGGUGUACUGUGAGGU